rnacentral:rRNA from 1 species
UACGGCGGCCAUAGCGAAGGGGAAACGCCCGGACCCAUACCGAACCCGGAAGCUAAGCCCUUCAGCGCCGAUGGUACUGCCCCCGCCAGGGGGUGGGAGAGCAGGACACCGCCGAAC